rnacentral:lncRNA from 1 species
GGGGGGGGGGGGGGUUCCAGUCGCAUUGCCUGUAGCUGUGGCCAGAGACGAGACAGCGCCGGCAGCGGACCUCGUUGGUGCAGUCGCGGACGGGGUAUCUGGGUUUGAGGCAGCGAAAGCAGAGUCCCGCGACAGCUUCAGGGGUCGGGAAGCACGACAGUCGCGGAGAAGCCGGCGCAGGAGCAGGUCGAGGACGGCGGUGUCGAUUCCUGCGUCGGGGAUGCUGGAAUCCGUCCUGGUCCACGGCGGGCUCGUGGAUGGGGCUGCCCACACGGUGUAAUCUCCGAGCGGGGGCCAAGACGUGCGACGGCCGGGACCUGCACGGCGGCCCGCCCGACGGGGGCAGCAGCGGGAGCGGUCCGCCCGGACGAAGCGACGAGGCCUGCAGCGGGGGAGGCGGAGGCGGCGACGUCGCGGUAGGAGCGUUCGCUGGAGCCGUUGCUGUCGGAGUCCGGCCAGCGGUUGGAAGACGCCAUGGGGGAGGGGGGGGGUGGCUUUGAGAGGGCUACCGUCGGGGAGUCUACGAUGACGAGGCUGGUGGUGGCUAGGUN